UUAGUGCAGGAGAUUUUUGUACAGGCACUGAUUGAGUUUGUAUCACUGUGGUACACGUUCGGUGGAGGAACUCGACUCUCAGUUGGAACUGCAGCUGGUCCCACUCUCACGGUGCUGCCGCCCUCCAGAGACGAGCUGCAGCAGGGUAAGGCUACAGUGCUGUGUGUGGCCAGUAAUGGAUUCCCCUCUGACUGGAAGCUGAGCUGGAAGGUGGACGGCAGCAGCAGGAGCUCUGGUGUCAAUCUGAGUCCCAGUCAGCUGCAGAAGGAUGGACUGUACAGCUGGAGCAGCAGCCUGAGCCUCACUGAGAGUGAGUGGAGCACAGCAACAACUGUCAGCUGUGACGCCACUCACCCGUCCCACAAUGCAGUGACCAAGAGCUUCAACACACAGCAGUGCAGUGAUGACCAGUGAAAUACACACUGACAUAAAUUAUAGUCAUUGCAUAAUUGUUCACUCAUACUCAUAGAAUCAAUGGGCUAACAGACAAACAACAUUGUGUAUUUU